UUGUUCGAAUAUUGGUUGGUAGCGAUAAUGCCCUAUCUUAAUAACUACGUUUGGUCUACAGAAUUGUCUUGUGUGUUCGGUUUGUAGCGUAUGGUCAUAUUCUUGAUGCUGUGCAACACUGCUGCGUAUGUAGUACUUAGCCUAUCGAUGUCUGUUCGCUUAUUAACUGUAUGGUCUGUAUUCGUGAUGUGACACAUUUCAAGGAAUGGUAGUAUGGUCGGUUUGUAGCUGUGAUCUAUAAUCUGUGUUAGGUCUAAGUUGAAUCUAUGGUUGUGUUGUAUGCAGUGUUGGAUUAGAGCGGUGGUUGUUUCUAUUAGUGUUGCUUUCGCUGUAUCUGUGUUAGUCUGACUGUUGCUCAUAAUUUUCUCCAGUUUGUUUACGUUACUUUUGUGUCCUAUCAGUCUCCUACUCAGGUUGUUUCUGGUCAUUCCAACGUAACAGCUAUCACAGUUGUUACAUGGAAUCUUGUAAAUUACGUUGCUUAUUUCUCCUCUAUUUGUAGGGUGUUUCACUUUCGUAUGGAGCUGGUUAAUCGUCCGUGAUUGUCUAGUGGUGAUCGUAAUGUUUGGGUAGUCCUUGGCCAGUAUCUUGGUGAUUCGUCGUGUGAGGGUUGUUCUGCUCUCUGUAGGUGAUUCAUCGGUCCGGUCGUGUUGAUAGUUUGGUUGAUGCUGGUUGUUCUGGUUUGGAGGUUUUGAUCUGCAAUGAUGACAUCAGACGAAUUUUGAAGCGGUGGAUCAAGUUGGGUGGGGUUUGCUGGCAGGAUGGCUGGCUGGGAUGGUGGCUGGUGUUGCGGCUGGCAUAAAGUGGAUCCUGUGGUAUUGCCGGAUGUUGACGAUGUUGUGGGUGGAACGGGCGAUAGCUGGCAUGAUGGUCGGCUGGGUGGGCUGUUGGUUUGUGGGUGGCUAACUGGCAUUAUGGCUGGUUGGGUGUGUGGCUGAUGAGUUAAUGUAAGUUAUUUUCGACAAAAUGAUGUAAAAGUUUAAAUUUGUACAUGUAAGUAAAUUCCAGUUCCCCUGAAGAAGACACUAAUCCCGUGUCGAAACGUUGGGCAGUUAAUAAACAUCGUUUCACUGUUAAAAGACUGCGUAGCCGUUUCUAAGAGAAAGUUGAAUCCCAACAGUCGAACCUCCAAUAGCAAAUAGUAUUUGAAUAUGUUCCAAAUGCAAAUAUAACUGAGCAGAUACUGAGAUUGUUGUGGACCCACUUCAGGUGAUAUAUAUUGAAGUUAUCAUUGCUCAGUAAAGUAGACUUAGAGACGUAAAAAGGGUUGGCUCUUGAAACCAAAUUAACAUGAAGACAUGAUUUAACUAAUGCUUUGUCCUCUCUUACAAGACUAAAAUGUAACUUCAAGAAAAUUAACAUCAAUGUGUGAGAAUAAUUAAACUGUCUUGGUAGUUUGCAAGAUAGGAAGUCAAAAUGACAGUUAAAGCAUUCAUUGAAGCUAGACGACAUAUUCAGAGCAGUUGCUAACCACUAACCUGUUAAGUAUCAUGCUAGUCAAAUGGCUAGUUGAAUUGGAUAUUUAAAAAAAAUCGAACAAUAAAAAAUGAAACUUUUCGGUUUAACUAGAAGUCUCAGGAAUUCGAGUAAAAAGCGCUUUAUAACCUAUUGAAUGCCACUAAAUGUUUAUGCGAUUCAAGUACAGUGACUUCUUGAGUAAUCACUUCUGAAGUCUUUGAAUAUAAAAUGUAUCGGGUGUGGUCAGGAGGGGCAUUCUGACUUAUGAUUGCCUAACACUGGAUAUAGUGCCAUUUUUGCUAAUAAGUGGGCCAUCUUGCCAAGAACUGUGGAACUUUGUUCUCUAAGUACAGCAGUGCGCUCAACAACAAAUUCUGCACAAUAAUUUCCUUACAGGAAGAGACAAAUUUUGAUCAGUUAAAGAAGUAUUGAAACUAUUAUUGAGGAGAAUAAUGUACAGUAUAUCAAAAGCACAAGAUAUUGGAAUAAUAAAAGAUAAUCAUUUCUGUAACUACAGGAAUAGAUAUAUCUAAUGAAAGCUGGAUCAUGAGGUUUGUUUUUCAGUCGAGCUUAUUAAUGCAAACAGAUACCAUUUAUUAACAUGUUACCUUGUUUGAAUUUUUAGAUUUCAUACACUGGAAAAACUGCAAAUAUUGUAUGCAUGUGUCGUACACAGAUUUUUGCAAUUUGUCUUAGAUAACCCUUUUCAUGUGUAGAUACACAUAGUUUAUAUAAGGUCCAUCGAUUUUAUGUGUGAUCCAGCGUGGAAAACGAGUAUGUGUGUACAAAUAAAAUUUAUAUAUCAAAUCCAUGGAUUUUUACCAAUAAAAAUGUGUGUACAUGUAUAAGUGAUAUUUGUGUUAAUAAGUUCAUUGAAAAUUUGAAUAAAAACGUGCUUUAAAUUGUUUCAGUACACAGAAAUGAAUCGUAGAGGCAAGCGUAAGAGCCAUCAUGACACAGACAAUCAUGGUCAGUGUGCACUACGUCAGACAUGUAAGCGUUAACAAAAAAAAUGAGGAUGUAUUUCAUCGAAAAAAAUGUGAAAUAAGUGAUAUAAUAGACAGAUGAUUGGGCUUUGCAAUAAUGCAGAAUAUUCUAGUCCGAUCCAACGAACUGAGAAUAUUUUCAAUAUGAUGAGCAUAUGUAGAAAAUCAGAGUUACUUAAAGAUAAAAAGUUCUAAAUUUUGACGGUACAUUGAAUGCGAAUAAUUUGGAAAAGGCUUGUUAAGAUAGCUUCAUUAGGUAUCUAGAGUGAGAACAUAAUAUGUUGAGGGGCUUUUGCAAUAUUUUGGAGGUACACCAUUAAAAUAAAUCCUACAGUUCAGAACCCAAAAGAGCGACAUCAAAGGAACAAAUUUUUGGUUUUGUAAUGUUAAAAUAGGUUUGAUUGAGCACGAAUCACUAGUUAAUGCGGGAAAAUAUGCAUCGUAGAAUGUAAACCUAUUGAACGACCAAACCGUAAAAAUAAACUCAUUCAGUUUGAAAGGUAAAUGGUAAAUCAUGAGAAUUCCGUAAUUAUCCGAAACAUGAUUCCUAAAAACGUGGACACCUAUUUAUUUUGUUAUCUGGAGAAAAUUGCUUUGUAUAUAAUAAUUGGCUACUAUCAUUACGUUUUCGGUUGGAAGCCGAAAUGACUGGCGGUGCGAAAAUUGAUGUUUAACCCAAGGUUUAACCUACUUAUAAACACAGCAACUCCAUUUAGAUUAGUGCUAAUUUAAGCUCUUAAGUAGCUUAAUGAUGCAACCGGUUCAAAUUUACGUCAAAACUGCAACUUUGCAUGUGCUUAAAUGCGUGAUUUCGAUUUGGUACUGCGACGAUGAUGUAUGUAUUAAGAAUUUGAGAUAAUUAUAGGAUUACAACAUGAAAAAAAGAAUGAAUAUUAAUAUUCUACUAUACUUUCAAACAGCUAGUGCGGUUGCGAGUUUUGUGAACAAUAUAUAUUAAAUAUAAUUCAAAAACUGGAUGUUUUCAAAUUACUAUUUAGCUAAAACUAGUAUUACAAAUAUUGCUUUGGACAAGUGACGUUUUUCUAAAUCGUGAUUUGAUUUAAAAAAAAUAAAGCCAAACUUCUGAAUAUAUUCUGAACAAGAAACGAGUUCCAGCGAAGUUCGCUAAAAUCAUAAAAUGAAAUAGUGUUUGUAUGACACUUGGACACUUUGGAUCGAAAACGAGUUAAUGGAUAUUGAUAAUUUUUCCACUGUAACAUUCGUGCACUGUUCCGACAUAUUAGUUAAAAAUGUCUGAAUAAUAAUCUGAAUAUACAUACCUUUUGUAUGAGAUUCUUCUAUGAAAGGACAUGUCAAAAAAAAUCAGUGGGUAGUAUACAAUGUUUGCAUGCUAGCUGUCAUUGAAAACAUUUAAGAAGAGGAAAGCAAUUCCAUUAAUUCAUCAGCAAAGGUAAUAUUUAGCUUGCACUCAGUAUUAAAAAUAUUUUGGGAUUUGGGAAAAUACUUGGGUCAAAAUAAUAUUUCAUUUUAGGUACAACCACAAGUAACGGCCAAGUAAUUUACCAAAAUGCCGAGCAGAGAUGGAUGACCAAAUGGAUGACUGUACUACUAAUUCUGAUGUGAGACUGAAGCGAGACGUUCAUAAACUGAGGAGACUAUAAGCGAAAACAACGUGGAGUGACCUUGCUGCGGAUCUGGAGAAAAAACGAGAUGUGGUACCUUGUGGUAUGCACAUAAUAAAUUAUUGUAUUACUCUAUUACGUUUAGCGUGUAUGUUUACAUUGAGUAUCUGUCAUAUGUGGAGAUGUUGUUAUUGUUGUCUGGAGUGUGAAUCAUUGUAUGUAAUAUUGAAGUAUCGGUAAUAAAGUGUAUACAAAUAAUGAA